AACCUCUAUGCUCCAGUGGAAAUGGUUCGAGCCUAUGCAGUCUCUCCAGAUAACUCAGAGAAUGAUGAACUCGGCUCGGACAAUCACAAAGGCCAACCUCCCAUCUAUGGAAUCCAUCUACCAGACCUGGCGUCAAGGAAAGGCCGUCAGCAUUUUCAAACAUCCAUCCCACCCUGGCAAUGUUUUUCUACAACCUCUACCAUCGGGGAAAAGGACACUUUGCUGUGGUGGGCGCCAUCCUUAUGAGAGUUGAGAAAAUCCUAAUCUUCUGGCAAUGCUGAUCCGGUUUUUGACAGGCUUUUAAAAACAUAUUUUAUGAUAAGGAUGUUCAAGUCUUCAAUGAACUUCGUUCAACAGCAAGUAAAUCCCAGACUUUGACAGUAUCAGUUCUCGCUCCACGUGCCUUCAAACUGGUUUUGAUAUCACAACUGCAAAUCAGGUGGUUCUUCUGAGUGGUCCAUGGACUAAGCAAAUCAUGUAAGCUUAUAUGUAAUCCCUUUUUAAUUUCAAUUUUUC